AAUUUUCAAAAACAUUGUUACCAAACAACAAUUUAUUUAUUUUUAUUAAACCGGCAUCCAUAAUUUUAAUGUGAUCCAGUUUAAUCUGACCUUUAAGGUCACUAUUUGAAGUGUAAUAUCUAUUUGAUGAUCAUGAGGAAUUCACUGUUGAUUUAUCAUUUCUCUGUUAGAUAUGAUUGAAACUUUAAUUUAUGACAACGAUGUGAGUUGGGUAAUGGAAAUUUCAUCAACAUAUGAUGGUUAAAUUUUCACCAUAUAGAUGCUGACGUUGCUUAUCUGUUAAUAAUUUAUCAUUACCAUUAUCAUUAGUAGUCAUUGUUAUUGUUUGUUUUUUUACAUUUUCUUCUCAUUUAUUCACUGUUCGUUGAAAGGUGAUCAGCUACUGGGAGAAACUAGAUUAUUGAUUUUAUUAGUGACUGGCAGUUCAUUUAACCCAUUCAAUUGUUACUUAAAACCUGUACCUAAUUGUUUCACCAAAAAAUGAUGUUAAAACAAAACAUUGACCUUUGGUUGGCCAAACUGCAUCAAUAUGUUUUAAAAGAUGGAAACGAGCACGUGGUUGAAGCCAUUGGUGUGAUUAACAAGUGUCUUGAUGAAAUUAACAAUGAUCACAAUAAAAUCGCCAUUAGUUUUAACGGAGGUAAAGAUUGCACCGUUCUACUUCACCUUGUUUACCUGGUUACUCUUGAUAAAUUUGAACGAGGAAAUCUAAACCACGGAGAUUUGGCCCCUAAAUUAAUGACUUUGCUAAUUUUAAUGCCUGAUACUUUCCCUGAAUUGGAGGAUUUCAUUCAAAGCUCUGUUACAAGAUACAAUUUGGAUCUAAAAUCUGUUAAUGGACCUAAUUUCAAGGAAGCUUUGAAAAAUUUCAAAAAUGAAACAACAGUUAGUCAUAUUUUUAUGGGAACCAGAAGUACUGAUCUAGUCAAGCCAAUCUCAUUUUUUGAGCCUACUGACCCGGGUUGGCCUGAAUUUAUUAGAGUUAAUCCCUUGCUUAAUUGGUCUUAUCAUCAAAUUUGGAGUUUUCUACGUGAUCUUGAAGUGCCCUACUGUUCAUUAUAUGAUAAAGGAUAUACAUCUAUAGGUACAGCUAAGAAUACAUUUGUCAAUCCAAAGCUCAAAGAUCCAUCAGGAAAUGGGUAUUUUCCAGCUUACAUGUUGAGUGACCCUCAGGAUGAAAGACAAGGGCGAUCCACAUACUAACGCAAGACCAAUCUUAAUGAAUUAGUUUAAUUAAUCGUAUUUAUUACAUGGUCAUUAUUUUGUAUUUUCACACAUGUUUUAUUGACAUUAACUAGAGGUUUAACAAACUUAAAAAUAACUUUUACCAGUGUAAUAAAAAUAAUUUUCCCUGUCAUUCCAAUUCAGAUGAUUGUCUCUCCAAUGUUCUUAGGAUCGGUAUCAAAACUAUGCAAAUGGAAGGACAAGGAUUCAUAAAGCUCAGAGGCUGAAGGACGUUUGGAGGAAUCAGGAUUGGUACAUUUACGCACAACAUCUCGGAGUAAUUCAAUUAUUGCUUGAUCUUCAGGAGUCCUUCCAUAGUUUUGCUUAACCACUUCUUUUUUCAUCAUCAUAUCUAUUUCAAAGCACAAUUGAGGAGAAAUAAUUUUUUACUUCAGUUUAUUCAAUCAACACUCAUAAGUAAACAGAAUGAUUGAGUUAAUCACUGGUGGCUUGGUAACAGAUUAACCUUUGACAGAAGAAGGUUGAAAUAAUUGAUGAAUGGUGAGAUAAUUAGAUGUUCAAGUUUUACAAGACUAUUACACUUACCAGAAUUAAAUUUCCGAGGUAACUGUUUUCUUUAUCAAUUUUCUCACACUUUGAUUGCUAUCCUUAAUGAUCUUAGGAAUGAUACUUGUGUAUUAAUUAUUUUAUAUAAAUGAAAACAAUAACUACUGUACUCAAAGACUGACUUCAAUCGGUGAUUGAGAAACACAAGUUGUAAAAUGAUUGUGAUCUUGAUGAGCUACCAUUGAUAGGAGACAAGUAAUUAUCAUAAUACCAAGAUGACACCAAUUUAUUUACGCAGCAAUAAAUACUUAUUAUUCU